rnacentral:rRNA from 1 species
UACGGAGGGGACUAGCGUUGUUCGGAAUUACUGGGCGUAAAGCGCACGUAGGCGGCUUUGUAAGUCAGGGGUGAAAUCCCGGGGCUCAACUUCGGAACUGCCUUUGAUACUGCGAAUCUCGAGUCCGGAAGAGGUGAGUGGAAUUCCUAGUGUAGAGGUGAAAUUCGUAGAUAUUAGGAAGAACACCAGUGGCGAAGGCGGCUCGCUGGUCCGGUACUGACGCUGAGGUGCGAAAGCGUGGGGAGCAAACAGG